rnacentral:rRNA from 1 species
CGGGAAUAUUGGACAAUGGGCGCAAGCCUGAUCCAGCAAUACCGCGUGUGUGAAGAAGGCCUGCGGGUUGUAAAGCACUUUCAGUUGGGAAGAUAAUGACGUUACCAACAGAAGAAGCACCGGCUAACUCCGUGCCAGCAGCCGCGGUAAUACGGAGGGUGCAAGCGUUAAUCGGAAUUACUGGGCGUAAAGCGUGCGUAGGCGGUUACUUAAGUCAGAUGUGAAAUCCCCGGGCUCAACCUGGGAACUGCAUCUGAUACUGGGUGACUAGAGUGUGGGAGAGGAGAGUGGAAUUUCCGGUGUAGCGGUGAAAUGCAUAGAGAUCGGAAGGAACAUCAGUGGCGAAGGCGACUCUCUGGACCAACACUGACGCUGAGGCACGAAAGCGUGGGUAGCAAAC